CCUACGGGAGGCAGCAGUGGGGAAUAUUGCACAAUGGGGGAAACCCUGAUGCAGCAACGCCGCGUGGAGGAAGAAGUAUUUCGGUAUGUAAACUUCUAUCAGCAGGAAAGAAAAUGACGGUACCUGACUAAGGAGCCCCGGCUAACUACGUGCCAGCAGCCGCGGUAAU
rnacentral:rRNA from 1 species